GGAGAAAAUGAAAGAUUUGAGAAACUAAAUUAUUUUAUAUUGCAAGAUUACAUUGUUUAGGCAAACACUUCGUACGACGAGAAGAAGUAUGGGAAAGAGAUUUUAAAUGUCAAAUCACUGUCUUAUAUAGCUAACGUUCUGUCACACCACUGAUUGUCUAUUGCACUCACAGUUUAUAAACACUUCACACCGAUGACCGGUAAAUUAAGUGCGGACCACACGAUGUGAACCAAGAGUUGCAACGCAAGAUGUGAGACGUUCCUUAACACC
rnacentral:misc_RNA from 1 species